rnacentral:rRNA from 1 species
UCGCAAGACCUUGCGCUAAAGGAGCGGCCGAUGUCUGAUUAGCUAGUUGGUGGGGUAAAAGCCUACCAAGGCGACGAUCAGUAGUUGGUCUGAGAGGACGACCAACCACACUGGGACUGAGACACGGCCCAGACUCCUACGGGAGGCAGCAGUGGGGAAUUUUGGACAAUGGGCGAAAGCCUGAUCCAGCCAUGCCGCGUGAGUGAAGAAGGCCUUCGGGCUGUAAAGCUCUUUCAGUCGGAAAGAAACGAUUGUGAUUAAUACUCACAAUUAAUGACGGUACCGACAGAAGAAGCACCGGCUAACUACGUGCCAGCAGCCGCGGUAAUACGUAGGGUGCGAGCGUUAAUCGGAAUUACUGGGCGUAAAGGGUGCGCAGGCGGUCUUGUAAGUCAGAUGUGAAAUCCCCGGGCUUAACCUGGGAAUUGCGUUUGAAACUACAAAGCUAGA